rnacentral:rRNA from 1 species
AUGAACGCUGGCGGCGUGCCUAAUACAUGCAAGUCGAGCGAACAGACGAGGAGCUUGCUCCUCUGACGUUAGCGGCGGACGGGUGAGUAACACGUGGAUAACCUACCUAUAAGACUGGGAUAACUUCGGGAAACCGAAGCUAAUACCGGAUAAUAUAUUGAACCGCAUGGUUCAAUAGUGAAAGACGGUUUUGCUGUCACUUAUAGAUGGAUCCGCGCCGCAUUAGCUAGUUGGUAAGGUAACGGCUUACCAAGGCAACGAUGCGUAGCCGACCUGAGAGGGUGAUCGGCCACACUGGAACUGAGACACGGUCCAGACUCCUACGGGAGGCAGCAGUAGGGAAUCUUCCGCAAUGGGCGAAAGCCUGACGGAGCAACGCCGCGUGAGUGAUGAAGGUCUUCGGAUCGUAAAACUCUGUUAUUAGGGAAGAACAAAUGUGUAAGUAACUAUGCACGUCUUGACGGUACCUAAUCAGAAAGCCACGGCUAACUACGUG